rnacentral:rRNA from 1 species
UUGAACGCUGGCGGCAGGCCUAACACAUGCAAGUCGAGCGGUAACACAGAGAGCUUGCUCUCGGGUGACGAGCGGCGGACGGGUGAGUAAUGUCUGGGAAACUGCCUGAUGGAGGGGGAUAACUACUGGAAACGGUAGCUAAUACCGCAUAACGUCGCAAGACCAAAGUGGGGGACCUUCGGGCCUCAUGCCAUCAGAUGUGCCCAGAUGGGAUUAGCUAGUAGGUGGGGUAACGGCUCACCUAGGCGACGAUCCCUAGCUGGUCUGAGAGGGUGACCAGCCACACUGGAACUGAGACACGGUCCAGACUCCUACGGGAGGCAGCAGUGGGGAAUAUUGCACAAUGGGCGCAAGCCUGAUGCAGCCAUGCCGCGUGUGUGAAGAAGGCCUUCGGGUUGUAAAGCACUUUCAGCGGGGAGGAAGGCGGUGAGGUUAAUAACCUCAUCGAUUGACGUUACCCGCAGAAGAAGCACCGGCUAACUCCGUGCCAGCAGCCGCGGUAAUACGGAGGGUGCAAGCGUUAAUCGGAAUUACUGGGCGUAAAGCGCACGCAGGCGGUCUGUCAAGUCGGAUGUGAAAUCCCCGGGCUCAACCUGGGAACUGCAUUCGAAACUGGCAGGCUAGAGUCUUGUAGAGGGGGGUAGAAUUCCAGGUGUAGCGGUGAAAUGCGUAGAGAUCUGGAGGAAUACCGGUGGCGAAGGCGGCCCCCUGGACAAAGACUGACGCUCAGGUGCGAAAGCGUGGGGAGCAAACAGGAUUAGAUACCCUGGUAGUCCACGCCGUAAACGAUGUCGAUUUGGAGGUUGUGCCCUUGAGGCGUGGCUUCCGGAGCUAACGCGUUAAAUCGACCGCCUGGGGAGUACGGCCGCAAGGUUAAAACUCAAAUGAAUUGACGGGGGCCCGCACAAGCGGUGGAGCAUGUGGUUUAAUUCGAUGCAACGCGAAGAACCUUACCUGGUCUUGACAUCCACAGAACUUUCCAGAGAUGGAUUGGUGCCUUCGGGAACUGUGAGACAGGUGCUGCAUGGCUGUCGUCAGCUCGUGUUGUGAAAUGUUGGGUUAAGUCCCGCAACGAGCGCAACCCUUAUCCUUUGUUGCCAGCGGUUAGGCCGGGAACUCAAAGGAGACUGCCAGUGAUAAACUGGAGGAAGGUGGGGAUGACGUCAAGUCAUCAUGGCCCUUACGACCAGGGCUACACACGUGCUACAAUGGCAUAUACAAAGAGAAGCGACCUCGCGAGAGCAAGCGGACCUCAUAAAGUAUGUCGUAGUCCGGAUUGGAGUCUGCAACUCGACUCCAUGAAGUCGGAAUCGCUAGUAAUCGUAGAUCAGAAUGCUACGGUGAAUACGUUCCCGGGCCUUGUACACACCGCCCGUCACACCAUGGGAGUGGGUUGCAAAAGAAGUAGGUAGCUUAACCUUCGGGAGGGCGCUUACCACUUUGUGAUUCAUGACUGGGGUG